CUGAUAGAUUCAAGCUGGCUGGAUUCAGAAGUGGAUGUGCUCUGUACUGGACUGUCUAGCGAGACUGUAAACUGGAAGCACUGAGUCUCUGCGGGAAUGGACUCUCAAACGAGGAACGUCAUAAUUUGGUCUCCUCUAUGAAAACAGUUCUCAGCUGCAACCUGAGAGAGCUGGGCUUGAGUAACUUCACACUGCAGGAUUCUGUAGUUGAGGUACUCUCUACUGGACUAGGGAGUCAACACUGUAAACUGGAGAUACUGAGGCUGAAUCGAAAUACACUAACAGACAACUUCUGUGAAGUACUAGUCUCAGCUAUCAGCUCAAAUUCCUCUCAUCUGAAAGAGCUGGACAUUGUUCACUGUGWCCUGAUCSAUUUAAGAGUGGAGCUGCUCUCCACUGGACUCAAAAGUCCACRCUGUAAACUGGAKAAAUUGAGGUCAGUAUGUUUCCUGUUCUCAGGUUUGUAUUUCCUGAAGGACAUAGCCUGAUUAUGUUCACUGAUCUCCACAAUCAACUCCAUACUUUCAAUGUUAAAGAAAUAUGAUGGAGGAUUUCUAAAACAUCCCGUUGAUGUUGUGGACAGGCAGUGAUCAGGGGAAGGUUAUACCUAAAUUCCAAGACACUAAGUACAUAUUCCUUGGAGCAAGGUCAAAAUAAUUAAGAGGGGUGUCAUUAAAGGCCAAUGUUGAUUUUAAAGACAGCUACAGAGUUCAACAGCUGAUAUAGGAGAAACUGUAUGGAUCAAAAACAGAUCUGGGACACAGGCUAAAAGGUUUGGGCCAAAUCCACAAAACAGGUGCUGAGUAAAACAUUUUCAAUUGUGGUGGUGACUGGCAGGGACUGGGGA